UUCUUUUUCUUUUUCUUUUUUUUUUCCUUCUCUUUUGGCCACCCCGUGGCAAAUGGAGUUCCCAGGCUGGAUCCUUAACCCGCUGUGCCCUUCCGGGGACGGAACCCGUGCCCCAGCGCUCCAGAGAUGCUGCCAAUCCCGUUGCACCACAGCAGGAAAAACGUUCACCUCGAAGAGGCAGGAAGUUGUUAUGGAAAUAGUGCAGCUGCGAGAGCUGUCGAGUCAUCCACGUUCAGCCCCCAGCUCUGCUGGGCGGGCGUUGUGUACCAGCCGACUCGGGGCCUCGGCUCCUGGGCAGGGGGGCAGAUGCGUCCACCUGUAGGGUGCCCUGAGGAGCUAGGACGGUGGGAGAGUUGGGCACGACACCUGGCAUAUACCAGAUAUGCAGUAAAAAUACCCUUGAUUGUUA